UUACAUCUCGUUUUCUGUGAUUAGCACCUCAGGAACUCCGUACCUGCUGAUCACAUUUUUGCAAAGGGAAUUUCUUACCUCUUUUUCAGUAAUUUUGGCAAAUGCAUCGGCCUUUACCCAUUUCGUGAAAUAAUCGAUUGCCAAUAUCAAAAAUUUCCUUUGUCCAGAGGCAGGGGGAAAAGGCCCCAUGAUGUCCACGCCCAUUGUGCGAAGGGCCAGGCUGUACCUAAGGUGAUCAGAGGUUAGGAGGUGCUUUCGGGACGCAUGCGUUCUUCUGGCAUUGCUCGCACUUUCUUACUAAGCGUUCUGCAUCUCUCAGUAACGUGGGCUAGUAAUAUCCCUGCUUUGUUACAUUGUCUGCUAAUGCUCUUCCUCCGAGAUGGUUCCCACAUGUUUCGUCAUGGAUCGCAUGAAGCACGUAGUCUGCUUCUAUCGAGGUCAAGCAUCUUAGGUAUGGGAGGGAGUAAGAUCUCCGAUAGAGCACGUCAUUGAUGAUUGCGUACUUAGCUGGUCAUCGCUUGAUCUGACGUGCUUCAUCUUGUUGAUCGGGCAGUCGAUCAUUUUGCAAAUAUCUGAUAAUCGGGGUCAUCCAGCUUUCUCCGGUAUGUAGCUUGCAACCUCGAUCUCCACUAUGGAAGGCCAUGAUAGUGCUUCCACUAGGAUUGUUCGACUUGCUAAGGCCUCGGUUUGAUUUUGAUGUCAAAUUCGCUUAACUCAAUUGCCCAUUUGGUGAGUCAUCCUGAGAGAUUGGGGCAAUGCAAGAUUGCCUUCUGCUGACAUUCGAUGAGCCCGGUGAUUAGAUGGGCUUGAAAAUACAACCUCAGUUUUUCAGCGGCGAUGAUUAGGGCAAGUGCUGCUUUUUCUAUGCCGAAGUAUCAGGCUUCUGCUUCAUUCCGGGUUUUGCUGACGAAGUAUACUGGUUGUUGUGUUCCCUCUUCUUCUUUAAGGAGGACCGAAUUGACCGCGGAGCUUGAUAUUGUAAUAUAGAGGAUCAAUUCAUCUCCUGGCUUGGUCACAGCUAAUUGUGGUAACCUCUGAAGGUAGUCCUUUAGUUCCUCGAAUGCCCCUUGACACUCAGGAGUCCAUUUGCAAGACGUUGGAUUUCGCAAGACUUUAAAGAAAGGGAGGCAUCUGUCGCCGGAUUGUGCUACAACUCAGUUCAAGGCCGAGACCCGCCCGGUCAAUCUUUGUACUUCUUCACAUUUCUUGGUGGGGGUCAUCUCUUGUAUGGCCCUGACUUUGUCGAGGUUCGCUUCCUUGCCUUGCUCAUUUACAAGAAAUACUAGAAAUUUACUUAAGCGUACACCGAAGGCACAUUUGGAAGGAUUAAGUUUCAUGUGAUAUCUACUAAGCACGUCAAAACAUUCUUGUAGGUUGAAGACAUGGUCUUUUCUUGCUCUUUAUAAACGUAUCAUUAGCAUAAACUUCCAUGUUCUGCCCUAUCCGUUUUGCGAACAGAUGAUUCACGAGUCGUUGGUAAGUGGCUCCUGCAUUUUUUAGUCCAAAAGGCAUAACUUUGUAGUAGAAUGUCCCCUGUAAUAAUGAAGGAGAUUUUUUCUUCA